GACGGAGGAUGCAAGCGUUAUCCGGAAUCACUGGGCGUAAAGGGUGCGUAGGCGGUUCUUUAAGUCAGGGGUGAAAUCCUGGAGCUCAACUCCAGAACUGCCUUUGAUACUGAAGAUCUUGAGUUCGGGAGAGGUGAGUGGAACUGCGAGUGUAGAGGUGAAAUUCGUAGAUAUUCGCAAGAACACCAGUGGCGAAGGCGGCUCACUGGCCCGAUACUGACGCUGAGGCACGAAAGCGUGGGGAGCAAACAGG
rnacentral:rRNA from 1 species